rnacentral:tRNA from 1 species
GGUGGCUCAGUCGUAGAGCACUUGCCUUGCAUGCAUGAGACCCUGGGUUCAAUUCCUCAGCACCA